rnacentral:rRNA from 1 species
UUAUGGCUCAGGAUGAACGCUAGCUACAGGCUUAACACAUGCAAGUCGAGGGGCAGCAUUGGGAUAGCUUGCUAUUCAGAUGGCGACCGGCGCACGGGUGAGUAACGCGUAUCCAACCUUCCUGCCAGUAGGGAACAGCCCGGCGAAAGUCGGAUUAAUGCCCUAUGUUCUUCAAUGCGGACAUCUAAGUUGAAGGAAAGAUUCAUCGCUGGCAGAUGGGGAUGCGUCCGAUUAGCUUGCCGGCGGGGUAACGGCCCACCGGGGCGACGAUCGGUAGGGGUUCUGAGAGGAAGGUCCCCCACACUGGUACUGAGACACGGACCAGACUCCUACGGGAGGCAGCAGUGAGGAAUAUUGGUCAAUGGGCGUAAGCCUGAACCAGCCAAGUAGCGUGCCAGGACGACGGCCCUACGGGUUGUAAACUGCUUUUAUGCGGGGAUAAAGUGCGGCACGUGUGCCGCUUUGCAGGUACCGCAUGAAUAAGGACCGGCUAAUUCCGUGCCAGCAGCGGC